UUCUCCACAUAGAAGAGAAGUGGAAACUAAACGAACAAGAACCCUCUCCGGCAAACAUACUGAAGACACGCAUAAUGAAGACGGCUUUCUGAAACGUGCAACAUUACGGGUCAAAGGGAAAGGAUACAUAACAACCAGUGUCCUUUUUCGGCUGUAUGAGAUGUCACCGUCAGCGCGAAAGGCAAGCGAAAACAUAACUACAAUUUGCGGCCUUAAAGCAGCGAAAGAGCAUGACAUGCUUUUCCGUGACUGCAAUGCGAGCACGGCUCGGAGGAACGACGACUGGCGCCAAACCAACGAGACCAGCGCAGGUCACAU